ACAUACACCCCACCUUUGGUGAGUACAAAUUUGUCAGAUUCAAAUACAAGUUUGAAGCCCUUGUUACUUAGAACAGGACCCGAAACUAAGUUCUUACAAAUUUCAGGUACAUGAAGCACAUUAGUAAGUACAAGAUCUUUUCCAGAAGUUAGUUUGAAAACCACCUUCCCUUGUCCAUCCACUUUGACAGCAGUAGCAUUCCCUAUGAACAAAGAUUCUCCUUCGUUGAGUGGUUGGUAUGAAGAGAACAUCUCUUUUGUAGAACAAACAUGCCUUGUAGCACCAGUAUCCAUCCACCAAUCAGUUGAAUUAGUAACCAAGUUUGCUUCAACAGCAACCACACCAAUGAAUUGAUUUUCAGUUUCAGCAAGGUUGGCUUGGUUGGAAUUUCCAGAACCUCCAGCACCUCCUUGAUCUUUCCGAAGGCGACACUCUUUAGCUCUAUGCCCUGGUUUGCCACACACCCAACUGUCACAUCCCGACCCUUAUAUUUUUACCUUAUUUACUAGCUUGAUUAUAAUAAGAAUUUUACCGUCUCCGUCAUUGAGUUAAUAGUUUAAUUGGUCUCUAGAGGAGUUUCGGGGACGAUUAUGUGCAGAGGAUUAUUCGUAGGAGAAAGUUACGACGACGGUAAAAAUAGUAAAUUUUAGCUAGUAAAAUGUAAUUUUUAUUCGGGUAUUAUUUUUCGGGGUGUUUUAUUUUUGGAGUUGGGUUGUUUAAAGGUGUGGACCGGGUUUGGAGAGGCCCAAACCCAUCUCUCUUUCUCUCUCUUUCUUCUCUCUCUCUCUCCCCCGAUUUCCUCCCGAGCCCCUCCCUCGCCGGAACUUCUUGCCGUCCGUACGCCGCCAUCCGGCCACCAUCUGCCGUCGCUCCGGUCCCAAACUGACUGCCUCCGACCCAACUUCCAUUCUAGGCCGGUGAGAGGAGCCCUAGCGCCACCGUGAGAGAGCGAUGCCACCCGAAAGGUUUGACUGCCUAGAGCUUCCGGUCGCCGGAACUCCCUCCUCCGGCCACCAAAACCGGUGAUCCUUGGCUCGUUUUGUAGCCCUCCUCCCGUGCAGCAACCCCUCCAAUCAGCUCACUCCCUCUUGAGCUAGGUAAGGAGAAAUGUGGAGUUGAAAUUUCUAGGGCUUUUAGGUGUUUGUGUUCGAUUGCCCUAGUUAGGCUUGGAUUUUGGGUUUGUGCUGGUCAGAAAAGUUGUAGAGCAUGAUGAGGAGAUUAUUCUGUCAAAAUUUCAUAGGUUUUGGAGGUCGCCGGAAUUGGCAUCCGGCCGCCGCCGCCGCCGCCGGUUGGGAGAUUUUAAUGUUGUUAAAUUUGGAAUAUUAAGGGGAGUUUAUUGAAGUGAGUUAUGGAAUUUUUGGAUGAGUUUUGGAUAGGUUUAUGAAUUUCCGAGUUAGUAUUUUGGGCGGUUAAUUUAUGUAGAAUCCGGCCGUUGGAUUAAAGUUGUUUAAACUGUGGGAUGGUGUAGUUACGGCUGCUGGUUCUAGGGUUGAAAUGUGGACCAUUUCGAAGUUAGGCAAUGAUGAGCGUGUUAAUGGCUCUCGGUUAAUUUCUGCCUAUUUUGUGUAAAUAUUGGAAUUUCGGCUGGGAACUUAAUAUUAUAUUUGGAACAGGUCGUGCGGAGGCUCGAGCUGACGAGGCCCCAGAUCGACAUCAGGCUUAGGCCUAAUUUGUGAGUAGACUUUUGUUUUAAAUAAUGUGCAUGCGAAAUAAUUUAUGUUGUUGGAGAAUAACCGAAAUUGAGAAUUUCAGUGAGUAUAUAUAUAUAUAUAUAUCCAUAUGUGGAUGAUUAUGAGAAUAAUAUGUAUAUGAGAGAAUGCUAGCUAGCUAUACGUGCUUUUCCACCAUACUGAGGUAAAAUUUCAUUAUGGUGCGACGUGAGUGUUAGACGCAAUCGUCGUAGCCCUAUAUAAAAAUAAUAAUUUAUAUAGAGGAUAUGCGCGUAUAUUUAUACACCGUCUUUUCCACCAUAAUGAGGUAAAAUGCCAUUAUGGUGCGACGUGAGCGUUAGACGCAAGCGUCGUAGCCUUGUG
rnacentral:lncRNA from 1 species